rnacentral:tRNA from 1 species
AUUUAAGUAGCUUAAUGUGAGAGCGUAGUAUUGAAGAUACUGAGGUCAUGUGUUUAUGUGUUUAAAUA